UACAGAGGGUGCAAGCGUUAUUCGGAAUUAUUGGGCGUAAAGAGCGUGUAGGUGGUUUGGUAAGUCUGAUGUGAAAGCCCUGGACUCAAUUCAGGAAGCGCAUUGGAUACUGCCAGACUAGAGUGCAGGAGAGGAAAGCGGAAUUCCAGGAGUAGAGGUGAAAUUCGUAGAUAUCUGGAGGAACAACAGAGGCGAAGGCGGCUUUCUGGACUGCAACUGACACUAAGGCGCGAAAGCCAGGGGAGCAAACGGG
rnacentral:rRNA from 1 species